rnacentral:tRNA from 1 species
CUUCCAUUGUCGUCCAGUGGUUAGGAUAUCUGGCUUUCACCCAGGAGACCCGGGUUCGAUUCCCGGCAAUGGAAC